rnacentral:misc_RNA from 1 species
GAUGAAAACGUAGCGAAAUGCGAUACGUAAUGUGAAUUGCAGAAUUCAGUGAAUCAUCGAGUCUUUGAACGCACAUUGCGCCCCCUGGUAUUCCGGGGGGCAUGCCUGUCCGAGCGUCAUUGCUGCCCUCAAGCACGGCUUGUGUGUUGGGCCUCCGUCCUCCUCCCGGGGGACGGGCCCGAAAGGCAGCGGCGGCACCGCGUCCGGUCCUCGAGCGUAUGGGGCUUCGUCACCCGCUCUUGUAGGCCCGGCCGGCGCUUGCCGACACAUCAAUCUUUUUUCCAGGUUGACCUCGGAUCAGGUAGGGAUACCCGCUGAACUUAAGCAUAUCAAUAAGCGGGAGGA